rnacentral:lncRNA from 1 species
UCCUCUAUAUAUCGUGGACCAGUUUACUCCAUACUGGAUGAAAAAAAAUUGUACAGGUGGAAGAGUAACUUUAGCAGCAUUAAAAUAUCCACUUUGUCCUUAGAAUAAAAUCAUAACUUUUCUGUACUUUAGUUGCAGAUUAAAGGAAGGUUACAUGGAGUUGUCCGCGUGAGUCAUUUCUAUAAGCCAUUUUUCGCUAACCAAAAUAUCUCAGCUUAGAACCUAGAUGAUCCGAACAACAUUGUAUGUCCAGCCC